CAUCAGAUGGCUGAAAGUAAGUAAUGGUCUCUUAAACCAAAAAAUAGUAAUUAACGAAUACUUCUGAUGA
rnacentral:tRNA from 1 species